UUUAUACAUUCGGGUUCGGGGUUUCGGGCGGCCAUAGCGAAUUUCAGCAAGAUUUUACCCCAGUGAAAAAGGCUUGUAAUCCACAGUGAUCAGCUAAGAUGUUGUUUCACUGGAUUAUUUAAUUGGGCAUAUAAUUGAAUAAUUCUGGAUCAUCUGAGAUGUUAUUUCACUGGAUUAUUUAAUGGAUAGACUUAUUGGGGCAUAUAUUUGGAUA